UGUUGACAUUAUUUUAACACUAUAUAGUAAUAAAACUACACUACCAUUGUUUUCUGCAAGACGGUAUGUGUGUGAAACAAGAGCGUAUUCUCAAAUCAGGCCACGCCUCCACUGAAUGACUGCCACCUGUCUGAAGGCCGCCAUUUUAUUUUGCACGAGGACGAGAAGACAGCAGUUUAUGGUGUUUGACCAUUGACGUUGUCGUUUUGUUAAUCAUAAUUGGUGGAUCAACCGCGCUGGAUGGGUGCAGAGGUAAAGUUAGCGGCUUUCUAACUGCUGAUUUACAGCACCUGCGACGCAGACAGGAGAAAUAAUAUCAAGCUAACGCUUUAUAAGCAUCAUAUAUAUUUUGUAAGCAAAGCUUGAUGGCUUGGUCAAUUGAUAAACUGUAUAAUCCAUGUAUUAUUUUAGCUCUUCCUGUCGCCAUUAGCUAACGAGCAUGGCAAAUAAGCUACAGCUAACACGUGCGUGACAGGCGCAUGGUUUUCUGCAUGUGUUAUGUGGUAAUGUUAAAAUUAAACUUCUUAUUUGCAUCUCUUACGUUGUAUUUAUCUACCAUUUAAGUUCACUCUUAUGUUAUCUUAUCGGAAUGGUUAAGCAAUUAUUCUUUUUAGUGUGUUUUAAUAAAAUUUGACAGUAUCACUAGCAUUUGAAAAUGGUAAACAAAAAUGUAUUGUUUCAAUUUGUUGACAUGACACUGAACACUGUUUCUUUCAUUUCUAAGCUUCAUACAAGCUCCACUUGCCACCUGAAACCAAUGUGCUCCUAAAAGAUUGUGCUGGAGUUGAUGUGGAUGCUGAUAUUUUUGAUGAUGUCCUCCAAGCUGAGGCAGAGUUCUCUGGAUCCUGAUGGAUGCCCCGAGUCAUCAUUUUCAUCGGUAGAAUCAAAGUUCAGACCUCACGGAGGAUCCCACCAUGUCUGGAUAUACAAAUUGACGAUCUUUGGUAAUAUAUAAGGCUCUCUUUGGAGAUGACAUCUCAUCUCAGACAGAAUUAUUUUAAAAAUGGAAACGUUUUACAGGAACAUCCAAAAUAAUUGCUGACCAUCAAAACCUAUGACAUGUUGCACAUGUUAACAACCUUUUAUCUGGUCAGCAGCAGUCUGAUUAUGUGAUGUGGCGGCUCUCUUGCUCCUUCAUCUCUCGCCUCAAACGGUAAACGGUGAAACUGCCCAGAUCAUGCUGUGACGUUUAUGAAGGUGGGGAUGAGCAUUAAUAUGCUCAUUAAGCGAGUUGGACUGACCCAGACCUUCCUUCUCUACGUUGGGGAAAUGUAGCAUCCGGAAGUUCUACAUCAUCCUGGACCAGAAAGAGUCCCCUGCAUGAUCCAGGCUCCUGCUGCAGCCUUGGACAAACUCUUUAAGGCACUCUUUGUGUUUGCUGUCUUAUGGUGAGGCCUUCUUAAAUUUCUACACAUUUAUUCAAACAACCGUGCAUGGAAUUGAAGUCCAAGGGGUCAAGAAAACUCAAGUGAGAAUGCAAAACUGAGGUUCAACCUUAUUUCAGAACAUUUAGUGCAAUGGCAGAACUUGUCAUCCUCAUGAUCAUGCAAUGACCCUGUUCUUAAUUCUUCUGGUCUAAUACUCACUGAACAUUGUAUUCUUUACUGUAUUAACAGGGUAUAGAUUAUUGUUUGAGUUUUUAUUUUAGAAGAUUUUAGUUCGGACCUGUUAAUGAAAUCUCAGAUUGCAGUCUGGAAGGUAGUUUUAACUAAAACUUUGUGUGUGCGUGUCAUCUUUUUCUACUAUAUCUUGGGUUGAAAACUAUGGAACUGAAUACCUGAGUAAUGUUUGCUUUGCUGUUGAAAAAUGAAAUGUCUGAUUUCUGUAAGAUGAUCGGUUUUCUUGUAAAGAAUAAGCAAGCAUUUUUAUUCAGUAUCAUAACUGCAGUGUAUUUAAGUAUGUGUUGAGGUGGUUACUAUUUUUUUCCAUUUUCUUUUUUGAGCGUAUGAUAAUAGACCUGAUGGACAAUGUUUGUAUUAUUGUGAUGGGCGAUUGAGAUAUUGUAGUUUUUUUUAAUAUGCAGUAAAUUAUGUAUUUGAUUGUGAAUGUUAAAUCUGGUGUACUUCAAUAAAAAGAGGUUUUGCA